rnacentral:sRNA from 1 species
GUCGCGAGCGAAGUAGAGUGCCGCGUGCUGGAGCGAUCCGUCCUCGAAGAUCAGCUUCGGGCCGAUCGCGCCGAGGC